AUGAUAUAUUAAAUAACUUGCUGGUAUGAUCUGGGAGCAGAUUGUUGCUUUUGUUGGUGAGCCAAUCAAGCAAUUGGAAUAACUAUAAAUUUUUGUUAAUUGCACUCCAGGUUAUCUGCUAUCAGAUUGUUCAUACAACGUGCCACAGCCACUUCUGCAGGAUUUAGAAUUAUGACAAGGAGUCAGGGACACAAUCAGAUUUAUACCAUCCGUUGUGAUGAUACAAGGAAAGUAAACAUAUACGCAUAUUGUGUUCAACGUGAUGAUACAAGUGAAAGCUGGCCUACGCUGCCAACUGAUCUGCGGCAGCGUGGAAGGAGUGUUCAAAAGCAGCAGGAACAGUUGUUCCACUGCUGGUCGGAGGGAGAGCUUGGCAAGGGAGAUAGAGGGAGCUCUACAACCACGAUCUUGGCAUACAACCCGAUGGCAUCAUGCCCACUUAAGCUUCUUCCAUGUUCCAAUUCUUGCAUUUGUUGGUCUUUUACUGUCAGAGCUUACGAAAUCCAUUACAAAUGGAGGUGAGGCCAAGUCGUGAACUUGCUGAGACGUCUUUGCCUUGAAUUCUAAGGCUUGAAUCUAAAUGGAGGUUUUCCAGAUCCUGGGAGUCUAUCCCUUCCAACAAUCUGGAGGUAGCAUAGUACAUCCGUACUCACAGAGGGAAUAUGUCUGAGCCACCGUUAUGUGUUUCUACUAAUUAAAGAACAACUAGGGUCACUUGAAAGAAGACGAGCUGGAAGAAUUCCACGAUAGACCAUUGCUUCAAGGUUGGGAGCGGCCACAACAUAAUUGACAUCAAAACCAGAUCUGGGUCCUACAUAUCCGGUCUUGCUCGUAUCCUACAAUGGUUUACAGAUGGUGUGGCUCCUUGCACUAAGAUGAUCGAUCAGAGAUCUAGAGUCCUCAAUACAGUCGAUGACGCCUCCUCAAGAUUCACUUCUUUGUAGCCCCCAACCUUGGUAUAGUAUAAAAACCUACAAAUAAAUCAGAAGAAUAGGCAAUUAUCGGAUGCUUAUGUUUGUUGGUGUAGUAGCCCUCUUAAGUCCAGUCCUAGAGAAGUGUGUCGUAGAAGCAUAUCAGGAAGACAUGGACGUGGAUAUGCAUUAUGGUUGUAUUAUGGACGUGGAUAUGGUCGCUAUAUUAGCUAUAUCUUUUACAUAUUUUUCUGAGUUUGUUCU